rnacentral:lncRNA from 1 species
GCAAACGCCUCACGAAUGAAUCGGAUACUCGUGAACAGACAGUAAGUGCUUCGAGAGACGCUGUGCGCACACUUCUCGCUGCCGAAAGCCGUCUCGUCCAGGAUGCAUUGAAGCGGACACACACAGCCUGCAGCGAAGAACAACGCGACGGACAUUGCUCUACUCCACUUGGCAUCCUCUUAGACCCCCUCGUGAGCCUUGGCCGACGCCUGGCAAUGCUGGUUGGCUGCACUCGUAUCUGACGAGCCCGGCGACGUCUUGCUGCAGCGGUAGCCUUGAGUGCCAGCAUCAGCGCAGUUCCAUCCGUGCUGUUUUGCACACGAGCCAGCUCCUCUCCAAGGCCCUUCAGGAUCUCGAGUUUGCCAAUCACUAGACUUGGGAGUUCUUGCUUCUUCUGGCUGGGCUGGACAAGUGUGUGAAGAAGUGGCCGAAAAUCCCAUGCAUGUUUUCUGACAGAGCAGACUGCUGCAGGCCCAUGUUACACUUAAAUGUUGAAUCGGAGAACUGAAGGUUACCCAGCAUACAAGUUGUCAAGUUUCGUGCAUAUUGGGAAUUCACUGUGAGCAGGACUGGACA